CACAAAAAAGCUGGAAAACGACAGUUGCUCCCUUUCCUUCAAAAACUCCCAACGGCUGGACCUCCACCCACGGAAAAAUCCCAACGACACACGUACAUAUAAAGGGACGUGACAGUGAGGGAAAAGGGAUCUGAGGAUUAAAAAAAAGAGAUUAAGAGAAUUGGGGGGAAACGGCAAAGAAGGGGAUGAGAAUUGAACAAAGAAAUGGAGGAAACAAUUGAGUGGGGAGCAGACUUUAAAAAGAAAAGAGGAGCAGCAGUUGGCAACAAAAAAAAAAACGCACCUAUCUCCUUCUCCGAACAAAAUGGAGUAGCUUUUUACACCAAAGUUUCAGCCACAAAAACUCCACAAAUCUCCAUUAAAAACAGCCCCUUUGCACACACAAAAUGUCGGAGUUGCCGGCGAGAUAGGUUUUUCGUCGAGAUUUGUUUCUGGUGAUGCCAUCUAUGGAAUCUUUGUUCGAUUAGCUAUCAUUUUAGUUCUUUAUUGAUUUUCUCUGUUUCAUUAAGGAGGACUAGAUUAUCGUUUGGUUUAUGUAAUUUUUUGAGUAGUAGGUUUUACGUGGCUAAAUUUGGUUAAAUGCUUAGGCUCGGAAUAACUCCUGAUGUUACUACGUUUAAUAAGAUUUUAUGUAUGCUUUGUAAGAA